UUAAUUAUUUCACAAAAAGGCAUAAAAUAAAAGUUUUUUGAAAAAGUAGGAUGCAAUUGCCUAUGAAAUCAGUUUCCCAGUAAAAUAUUUAAUUCUCUGAGAGCUGGCAUAUUUUGAGUCCGGAUCAAUCAGAUUCUCAAAAUAGCUUUCAUGGGAAGCACUGUGACAUCACUUGUCUCCAUUUUAUCUUCUUUCUCUCUAGUUCCCAGCCCAUGGCACCCAUUUCCAUGAUUUCAAAUAUUAUCUGUGUGCUAGUGGCCCCGCAUUUUAUUUCCAGUCUGUGCUUUCCUUUUACUUGUGAUCUCUACUUGGAUAUCUCAACAUAAAUUUUACACGUGCAAAAUGGACCUUUGGAAUCCCCUGCCGUUCCCCCAAACUCUGUAGUUCCAACCCCUUUUUUCCACCCAUAAGAACAGAAUCCAGCCGGUUUCUCGAGCUGAAAACCCAGGUGUCUUCCUUGAUUGCGUCUUUGCGC
rnacentral:lncRNA from 1 species